GACAGAGGUGCCGAGCGUUAGGCGGAAUCACUGGGCUUAAAGCGUGUGUAGGCGGAUCGUUAAGUACCUUGUGAAAUCCCCCGGCUCAACCGGGGAACUGCUGGGUAUACUGGCGAUCUUGAGCAAUCUAGGGGCAGAUGGAACAAGUGGUGGAGCGGUGAAAUGCGUAGAUAUCACUUGGAACGCCAAAGGUGAAGACAGUCUGCUGGGGAUUUGCUGACGCUGAGACACGAAAGCCAGGGGAGCGAACGGG
rnacentral:rRNA from 1 species